GCCAGCGUGGUGUAGUGGUUUAAGUGCUGGACUAGGACUCUGGAGACCAGGGUUCAAUUCCCCCCUUGGCC